rnacentral:ncRNA from 2 species
GUAUUUUUACAAUUUUCAGGUGCCCGACAUGGGAUAAUAUGGGAACCCUGUUUGAAUCAGGGACGGGCCCGCCGCUGUAAUCGGAGACGAACGCUGUAAAGAAACCACUGGCUGUUUUAUGCCGGGAAGGAACAGCUACUAGGAUGAACCGAAAGUCAGAAGACCUGCCUGGAAAUAGGAAAUGUC